UUAUUUUACACAAAUUGGCAUUUAAAAUAUUUCACAAAAUAAAUUUCAAAAUACACAUUUUUACUAAUAAAUUAAUAGCAUCUGCAUUAGAGAAGUCUUCUACAAUAACAGUAAUUUGAAGAAAAGAACUAGCCAUGUGAGGCUUGAUUGUAACAGAGAUACAAAAAAUAAUGUACAGAAUUUCACAUUAAAUGAACAUAAGUAUUGCUUGAUGAUUCAUGUUGCCACCCUCAUCGUGCUUGAUCUUCAUCCAUCCCAUAAUAUUGAAGCACUCUCCGUAAUCACUAUACUGAAAUAAUAAAAUAACAUGAUCUUUUGAGAAAUUUAUAUUUUAAUUAUCAAAAUAUAGAGUGAUUUAGACUCAUUUACAGUUAGUAAUUGAAAAAAUUCAAAAAAUUAUGGAAUAAGAAAAAACUUAGCCAUGAAUCAAGGUGGAACUUUUUUCCAACACAGAAGACAAAAUAAAAAGCAUUUAAAUAAACAUCAUAAAACUUAAUUAAGGAGACGAAAAAAGAAGUAAAACUUACAGUUUGACAUUAGAAGAGAUUGAAAUUUCUCAAAGGCACUUUUCUCUUGAGCACCCUAUAAAUCGAAAACAAACAAUUGAAUCAGAAACUUAAGUCAAUUAGGUGUAAGGCACAAAACCUAUCAAAUCUUCAAAAUCACACUCACUAUUUAUAAAAAAUAAGACAUAAUAUCUAUCAAAUUGCUGAAAUAACUUGUAAAUUGAACUUAAAAUCUCAAACCCAAAUAGGUGUAAGAAGAUUCAAAAACCCUACCAUAUAGAAGUCACAAACAAACAAGUUCAAUUUUUAUCUACAAAUGAGAAGCAGUGUAGAUCAAUACCCUCUUUCUCUUCUUUGUUCUUGCAGCUUUAAAUUAACGCCUCUACUAUGGAAGAAGGGAAUAAUAAAAUGGAGAGGAAGGGUGGCGGCCGAGAGUUUUGAUUUUGGUUUGGAGGUUUAGGUUUAAGUCAUACCUCUUCUUAUAUAUUUAGC
rnacentral:lncRNA from 1 species